rnacentral:rRNA from 1 species
GACGAACCGUGCGAACGUUAUUCGGAAUCACUGGGCUUAAAGCGCGUGUAGGCGGGACGGCACGUCGGUCGCUGAAAGCCCCCGGCUCAACCGGGGAACGGGCGCCGAUACGACCGCCCUGGAGGGACGUAGGGGGACCUGGAACUUCCGGUGGAGCGGUGAAAUGCGUUGAUAUCAUCUGGAAUACCGGAGGCGAAGGCGGCUCACUGGGGGUUUCUGACGCUGAGGAACGAAAGCCAGGGUAGCGAACGGG